GAACAGCAGAGUGGGUCCGCUGUCACGGCCCCACGUCGCUGGAGGCCGCCAUUGCACGGGCGGAGGAUCACCUGGCGGUGCACCCCGGCGGGCAGGUGGCCAGCGACAGCUCACUGGCUCCGGCCAGGCCGACGCGACCCAUACAGGCCCCAGCAAACACCGGCACCCUUCCCAACCCACAGGUAGUCCCUCAAACGCCAGGGCAGGAGUGUUGGAGGUGUGGGCGGCCCGGACACGUCUGGUGGGAGUGUCCGCUGAUGGAGGUGGGCCAGGUGAUCCGGGUUGCCGGCUCUCCAACACCCUCCCCAGGUCCGGGAGCGACAUACCGCGUACCGAUCGAUAAACAAGGAACAAUUUGAGAAGAAGAAGAAUGACUCACUGGACCCUGAAUUGCUCGUUGAAUGUACUGACUGCGGCCGCCGCAUGCAUCAGAUCUGCGUCCUUCAUCAUAAAACCAUCUGGCCGUCGGGGUGAGCAGCAACUUCCU